rnacentral:sRNA from 1 species
AGCUUUUUAAUCAACUGGCCAGACACUAGAAACAUGAAGACUUGGAAGAGGGGAGAUAGUUGCAACUUUCUGGCAUGUAGGUCUUAACUUUGCCUUUGUUUUCCAUUCACAGUGCUUUCCAGGUGGAUAUAACAAUUGAUAUAAGACCUUCUCAAGAGGAUCUUGAGGUGGUCAAAAAUCUCAUCCUGAUCUUGAAGUGCAAAAAGUCUGUCAACUGGGUGAUCAAAUCUUUUGAUGUUAAGGGAAGCCUGAAAAUUAUUGCUCCUAACAGUAUUGGCUUUGGAAAAGAGAGUGAAAGAUCUAUGACAAUGACCAAAUCAAUAAGAGAUGACAUUCCUUCGACCCAAGGGAAUCUGGUGAAGUGGGCUUUGAACAAUGGCUAUAGUCCAAUAACUUCAUACACAAUGGCUCCUGUGGCUAAUAGAUUUCAUCUUCGGCUUGAAAAUAAUGAGGAGAUGGGAGAUGAGGAAGUCCACACUAUUCCUCCUGAGCUACGGAUCCUGCUGGACCCUGGUGCCCUGCCUGCCCUGCAGAACCCGCCCAUCCGGGGAGGAGAAGGCCAAAAUGGAGGCCUUCCCUUUCCUUUCCCAGAUAUUUCCAGGAGAGUCUGGAAUGAAGAGGGAGAAGAUGGGCUCCCUCGGCCAAAGGACCCUGUCAUUCCCAGCAUACAACUGUUUCCUGGUCUCAGAGAGCCAGAAGAGGUGCAAGGGAGCGUGGAUAUUGCCCUGUCUGUCAAAUGUGACAAUGAGAAGAUGAUCGUGGCUGUAGAAAAAGAUUCUUUUCAG